CUGGCUACCAGUGGGGAAGGAUCUCAUCCGGAGACUGUCUCUGCUGGUGUUUUGUGGUGAGCCCAGCAUAAGGAAAAGAAGUCUGUGGGAAGAGAACACUUUUGGUAAUUGGGCCACACCUGCAAUGAGAAGCUGAGGGACACCUAUGCUGGAAGAAAGCUGAAUCCCUGAUGAUAACAUUGAUCUAAUAACAGGUGUCAGAGAUACAACAGGGAGUCCCAGAUAUGUAGGGACCAACUGUUAGAUAAAGGACCUCUACAUCACUAGCUGCAUAAAGGGGCCUUGAAGCAUUAAAAAAGGGUCUGGAUAUAACCAGCAAUUUAGACCAUGAGCAGCAUGGGGCAUUUUCAGUCUCUCAAGUGCUUUAGAAGAACUAAUUCUCAUUAUUGUCUGGGAAAGAAGACUGCAUAAAUAGAGAGCCAGGAAGAUCAGCUUUAUUGCCUAAACCCAGACAGAAAAUCUAUGUCAAAGCUAGUGCUGAAAAGCAUGAUUUAAAAUCCUGAUCCUGUCCCAGUUGCCCUUGUAGCUCUCAGAGUAUCCUCCUGAGCCACAUAGACACGAUCACUGUAAUUGCUGCUGCAUGUUGUCCUAAAACACAUGCAGCUUCUUUCUGGAUUCUGGAGAGAUAUCUACACAUGGAGAUCUAUUGGAGACUGAUUGGUCCCAAUCCUGCAGCUGAGUGCCUGCUCUAGUUUGUACCACAGCUGAGCACAGUGUAACUCAGCACUAUUGGGCAUACUUUCUCUUUUGCAGCUGUAGUAGAAGCUGGUUGAGGGCCGAUACCCAUGAAAAAUUUAGCUCCUCUGUGUUUCCCCAGACUUGCUAUAGACAGUGUUCAAAGGUUUGCUGAGCACUAGUACAUAAGCAAGAAGGGCCAGCACGCUCAUUCUUCAUCUUAAAGAAUAAAUAUGUUUGCAGUACAAAAGUAAUUGUGAUGUACAACUGCUUGCCAUCUGCAUAUUGUAACUGAUUCUUUCUUGGUUUAAAGAUCAGUGAUAUCUAAAGCCGUAUGUGGUUGUAACUUUGGGACAGUUAUUAAGAACAAAAAGACAGGGAGCCAAACUAUUAUCUGGUAUAUUUCAAAUUCGAAUUAAUGUACUCCUUAUGUACAGUGAUGGCACCACAAACCAGUGUAUAGUCCUGCAACCCAAGAGAAAUGUUCACCAUUAUAUUAAAAUAUUACACCUACUAGGCAGUGUCUAAUUUGAUCAAGAAGAGUUGACAUGGAUCAGAAACAAAGUACUUGUUUUGUAGCAGCACUUUGAUUCAAAAAGCAUUUAUAAUCCCUGUUAUGCUAGAUAACCACUGUAAAAUUAAAACACUUGUCCUUGUAACGCUAGGUAAGAGACUCAUUGGCAUGUUCACAAGCUGAGGCUUCUGCUUGUUUUUGUUGGAAGCUGCCACGUAGAAGUAAUCGUGUAAUAAUGUACAUCCAGCUAGAGUAUACAGGAAAUAAGAGAAAACAAUAUGCAACUUCAACUGUAACCUUCAAAUAUAGCAAUAGCAGGAACCCCGCUAACUGUGACAGAUAGGUAAACUGUAUGCUUUUCCCAGUGGGCUAUAUGCUUUUUGUGCAUAAUAUCAAAUGUUCCAUUUUUAAGUCCAGGCAUCUGAUCUCAAGCUUUCUUACUAGAUUUGCAAAAGGCUGUCACCUUGACUGUACAUUCUGGGGACAGGAUUGGCAUAAGAAUUGCUGAAGACAGGCAAGCAACAUCUCCCAUGGAGCCAUAAAGAAAUCUUUCCAUCAGCAGGCUGAGUAGCUCUGGUUGGUAACCUGUCCAUGCUCCAACAAAGACACCCAGUGGGUUUUGUAUCUACAACUCUGUCAUGCGGCGUAUUGCAAGCUACUGACUGCAGUGAUAAAAAUGGUUCCCUCAGCUGAUUCAGCCUGCCCUGGUUUUGGAAGCCAUACUCGUACUGCUGUGAGCUUUUGUGAUCCUUCCCAUACCACCCUUGGAGGGGAGCCACAUUUACUGUGGUAAGCACCUGCUGUUUGAAGGCCUCAGAGGAGCUUAAGUUGCACUGUUUGAAUCUCCAUAGCUGUGUGGGAAAGUAACUUUCAGCAGGCAACAGGGUGAAAGAGAAUCGGUUUCUGUAGGCACUGAGGAAUAAAAGAGUUCAAGAAGAUUGAUUUCAGGAUAACGAUUAGAGGACAAAAGCAGAGGUCAGAGAAAAGGCCAAGCGUGAAAGCCAGAGAAUCAGAAGAUGAGAGAGAAGGAAAUUAAAAAAAAUAUAGCAAGCACUUUAAUGAUCUCAGUAGUGAAUUUCAAAGGAGGAGAAGGAUCAGACUUCCUUCAGUUUUGGGUCAUUGCUGGAGGACUUCACUCAGAUCCUCAGAUGAUGAAUUUUCCAUCUUGACAUCUAACAAGUGACUGUGCAGGCUGACUGGCAAAUGUUUUGCUUUUUUUUCCGUAGAUUCAUCUGCCGUUGGGAUUUUUCUGGCACCAUUUUUUUGUGUAGAAAUUGAAAUAGAAGUGAUAAGACACAAUAAAGCAGAUCUCUGCUUUUCUCUCUUCCCUGCUCUUCCCAUAUCAGAAGUAAUUUGGGUUCUGUAUGGGGAAUAUGUAUAUUCACAAUAGUAAAUAAUAAAUAGGAUUGGGGAAAGGGAAAAACAGUCAGUCACACAGAGACAGGAAAAGAGACAUGAAAAGAACAGAACACGCUCUCUGGAGGAGAGUAUCCUAAAAAUAGAGGACAUCAGAAAAAAAAGAAAUGAAGCAAUAUAGUUGUUUUUGCAUGACCAAAGCAGAACUAACGAGGCAUAUUUCUAAAUGACUAAAGAAGCUUGUUAGAAGCCUUUGGCAAGACUAACUUUUUGUGAGUCAGAUUAGCAUACUGAAAAUGUAUAAUAAUGUUCCCAAAAGGAGAUUAAAAUUUCUAGUUUUGCAGAAAUUUGGUUUUUUUUCAGCGUUGUGAUCAGCUGCAAAUUGUUGCCACAUUGCGCCAGAAGUUUAUUAAUUGUGAAGCUGCAUAACUUAUAAAUGCCUUCUAGUGGUAUAUUUAGCUCAAAUGUAAUUUGUAAAAUCUUCAUUUUGCUUAGCAAAAGUAGUGCUUAUGACACGGUCAUGAAAUGUUUUUAUGCAGAGAGCUCAGAACAGUCCACAAAGUGCUCUAAUGCACACUGAUCUGGAUAAGCCAUGCUAUUAAAAAGUUCUUUAGGCUUUGAUACAGCUGAGUUUCAAAGUGGAUGGUAAAUAUCAGUGAGUCUAUGCAUAUGGGUAUGCGUACAUUUGCAGACAGAAAGGAAAAAUACAGGUACAUACACAGAGGGCAAAAGAAAAUGGUAUAGAACCUUAGUAAUGGAGUUGUAUCUGUUGAGUUACUGUGCUAUAUUCCAAAAAUGCUAAGCACUGCUUCUAAUAAACAAAUGCUCUUUGGAUAAAAAAUGCAUUAAACUUCUAAAACCUCUUAGGAGAUGCCUGCAUCUCCCCCACUGGCAGCUGUGUCGUCACAGUUUAAGCCAAUGGGGGAUCAAGAAACUAAUGAGGACGUCUUUUGAUGGAAGUGACAGAGCUGAACAUCCAUGUCGACAAAAGCCUGAGGCGGAUGCCUGCCUGAGCACACAGAAUGCAUCUACUUCAAAAACAAGGCAUAGAAUGAGCAAGCUAAAUCAUACAUUACUUCAAAACUGGCCUUUGUUACCAACAUUUUUAUUUGACUCCUUUCUCCUUCUCUCCUCCCUUUCACCAUGUAUUGUGUUUAUUUAGAUGGAGGACUCACAUCAGUGAAUAGUUUCACCAUAUUUAACAAUAAGCGGUAUCAUGAAGGGAAUGGCAACUAUUUUUUGCUUGUCUAACAGCCUAACAUCUUCCCUACUUGUCAUGUUGAAGAUCUCAAAUGCUAAAUAACCGUUUGUAUAAAAAAAUCCUACUAUAUAUAAAUCAGAGGGUGAAGAGUGCUUAGAUAGGACCUUGAA